AAUCAUUUUAUUGUUCGACUGACAGGCAUUUACAACGUUCCAUUCAUAGACCUAAAAACAUAAAUAGACCUUCUUUCAGCUUAUAAAAGAAAUAUAUAAGAACUUUGGCCAUGGACACGUCAUGACCUAUGUACACGUGACGUGGCGCCCCUGCACACA